UAGUACUAGUGUUCAUUUUCACCCCGCUGUUCAUAUUCACCCCCGUUUACGGUAUGUGUUUUGGUUUACAGACGGGUCCUGUCACGAUAAUUUUGGUCCGCCGAUAAAAAUGACUCCGGACUAAAUUUCUCAGAAAAUAAUUAUACGGCCGGAUAAUUUUUUUCUGAAAAAAUUGGUCUGAGCUAGAAAAAAUUGGUCCGUGUUAUGCAUGUGCGCAUAUAUCUUUUAAAUUAUCAUGGAAGACGACCUUGUUCAAAAAGUUUUUACUUAUUUAAGUAAAAAGCAAUACCCUGAUGGAAGUCUAGAAGGCGAAAAAAGAGUCAUUAGAAAAAAAGCCUUAAAGUUUAUGAUUUGAAGGAAGGUGGGGAAUUACUAUAUAAGUAUAAAAAGAAAGACAAGGAACUAUUUCUGUGAUACAUCAUAAAUCAUGAUGAGAGAAAAAAAAUAUUAGUAGCUUGCCAUGUUCAUCCUACUUCUGGCUAUAUGGGUAAAACAAGGACAUUAGGCAGGGUAAAAGAGCGUUUCAUGUGGCACGGAAUGGUAAAAAAUGUCCAUGAGUUGCUUAUAUCAUGUGAUGUAUGCCAGAGAAUGAAUAGAAAGUUAAACUGUGGAAAACCAGAGAUGCACCCAAUAAAGUAGGUUGAAGUAAUAGUCACUAAAGACAAAACGGCAGUUACAGCGGCAGGAUGUCUGUUCAAGGUAUUACAUUUUUAUUUCUGUCAUUGUUUUAGCAUCCUUGCUAAAUGCUACCUUUCUGGGUAUCAAGUUUUUGUGUCCAAAUAGUUUGCAACUUUACAUUCUAUAUUUCCAAACAAUCUUAAAAUUCCCUGAUAAUCUCAACUUAAUACACUGAUUUUCUCUCCAAUUUCUUGAUACAUAAAUCUAUUUAUAUAUGAAAAUUUAUUACAAAAUUAUAUCCCUAAACUUAUAUGUAAUGAAACUAUUUUGGAUAUCCGAAAAAACAAAAAAUAGAGAAAAUAUCAGGAAUUCCAGAAAUAUCCAGAAAUAUCCAGAUAAUCCUCGAACAUUAAUAUUUUUUUUGUAACUUCUAUUUUUAUUUUUUGAUUUUGUCUAAAAAAGAAAAGGCAUCAAUGGCAGAGUCAGCCCAAAUGUGAUAAUUACACUUAUGAUAAUUGUUGCUAAAGUUGCUCUUUUUAAUUUCUAACCUGAAUUAUUCUCUUAAUUCACAUGCUUGUCAUUUCUUUUCAGCUUUGAAAAUGUCCCUAUAAAUUUAUCUUACAUACCACUUUCUUUCUGAUCAAUAAAUUUCUUAAACUUUAAUAAAUUAAUUCCAUUGAAAAAAAAAAAAAAAUUACAUUUAAAUGAAGAUAAAAUAAUAUAAUAUUAUAUCUUUCUGAAGAGUUCAAAUGUGAUGAUCUUGAAAAGGAAUCUGAUGGUGUAUUUGUUAGGAUACACUAGGGAAAAUUAAGUUGGUUUGGGUAUGUAGAGCGUAAAGGUGCUACUGAUUGGGUAUCAGCAUUUAGAGAGAAGUUUUAUAAGAAAAAGUGAGGUAGGUAAAGAAAAUUUUUGAAAGAGUUAAAGAAAGACGAUGCACAAGAUUGAUGAAAUGUGCAGUAGCGGAUUUAGUAUAAGGCAUGGGGGAGAGCUGCCACACACACACACACUCCCUAGAACAGGGAGAACGACGCCCUUUAAAACAUUAAAAAAUAUGUAUGUAAUAUGUAUGAUAAAAGUCAUGUAAAACCAACAACAACAACAAGCUAUUUAUUUUAUGUUUAUCAUUUUACAAUAGUUUUGAUAAUAAUAAUAAUAAUAAUAAUAAUAAUAAUAAUAAUAAUAAUAAUAAUAAUAAUAAUAAUAAUAAGAAUAUUGAUAGUUGACUGAAGGAACGAUUUAUUGCGCUUGAGGAAUGAAAUAUUGCGCCUGAGGAACGAAAUUCCGAAACGGAGGAACGAUAUGUAUAUUUUGAGGAACGAAAUUUUGAUAUUUUAUUAUUUUCGUUCAAAGGAAUGAAAACAAUCGUUCAUUUGAAUGAAAUUUUAAAAUAUCGUUCAGAGGAACGAAAUAUCUGAAGAACAAUUAACAAUCAGAGAAGAAAAAGAACUACCACGAGAUUUAUUAUUUUCAUGUUUCUAGCUGUUUGAAAACGGAUAAGUUUUUUAUUAUAUUUUUUUAUUAUAAUAAUACUAAUUUCUUUUUCCAUCUUUUAUUGAUUGAUUUUGUAACAUGUUAUCUAUAUUAUAUAUAGUAUUUUAAAUUUUAAUAACAUUAGCCUAAUUUUUAAGAAAUGUUAGCCUAAUGAUUAGGUAUUUCUGCAUUUAAGUCUUUCUAGUUUUUUUGUAGUUUUGUUAAAAUAAAAUAUUUUCGACUCAAAGGUUUCCUCUCAUAUGUCCUAACUAACGUAGGAUAGGAGAAUGACCUUGUAAAGAGAUCACUCUCCUAUCGUCUCUAAUUCUAUAAGUUUAAAGUCUAUUUUUUAGCACUUGGUUUUAAGUUCAGUAUAGAUGUGAUAUGUGGGAUGAGUAGAAACGGUAGGGGAAAUUGAAAUAAAACUUUAAAUUUACACUUAUAUGUUAUAAGUUAUAACAAUGCAAACAAAAAUUUGUUUACUUAUGAACUACUUAUUUAGUUUCAUUAGUUAGAGAAUUUUAAAUUUAUAAAAAUAUUUCUUUUCAUGCCAUUAAAGUUCCAUUAAAUUCCUAAUUACAUUGAAACUCUCAUUCCAUUAAAAACUCAUAAAGUUUUUGUUUCUAUUUUGUUUUUUACUUUUUUUACUCAUCCAAUUUUAUGGCAUCUCUUUUAUUUCACAUGUUUUAUAUAAAAAGAAUGCAUACAUAUGUAAUUUUUGUUUAAAUUUAUUGUUUUUGUUCUAGGCUAUAGAAUUUUCUGGGUUUAGUUGUCUACUCCAUUGGAUAGUUAUUGUUAAGUAGUGACAAACGCCAAAAUGAAUUUGACUCCAAAUGACUCUAAGAAAACCUAUUUUAAUCGACGUUCUGGGAAAUCAUCAGAGUACAAUAUUUAAGAGGUUUUACAGAAUGAGAAUCUUUAUUUUGAGAAGAUCUUCAUGGACAAUAUAAUAGGUUAUGGAAUUUUUGUAAAAAAAGAUUUUUAUCCUGGCGAUGUUUUGCUUGAAUAUAAAGGUAAGUUAAUAACCAGAUUGGAAGCUGAAAAAGCUCAUGAAGAAUAUCACAGCAAAAAUGAAGGGUGUUUUAUCUUUGAUGUAGAUUGGAAGAAUUCUAAAAUGAGUAUUGAUGCAACAUAUUCUACUUGUCUUGGUCGAUAUAUAAAUGAUGCACCUGAAAGGUUUAGUAAUUGUAGACCAAAAACUCAUAUAAUUAAUGGUAAUCCACAUCUUCUAUUUUUUUCGAAAGUUUUUAUCCCCAAUGGUACCGAGCUUCGAUAUGAUUAUGGAGAUCGUAAAAAUCAAAACUGGAGAGAAUUAAAAAAUUAUAUUCAGCCAUUUACAAUGGAAGAAGUCAGAAACUCUCGUUAUGUUGGAAAAGUAAGUAAAAAGAAAUUAAAAAUCUUUUGUUUCCAUUUAUGUAAUUUAUUUAGUUUUAAUUUAAACUUAUUAGGUAAUUAUUAUUAUAGAUUAAAAUAUAUAUAUAUAUAUUUUUUCUUCUAUUAAAGUACUUUCUAUUCAAAAUAGUUUCCAAAAAGAGCACACAAUUUUGAUUUUAGAUUUGAACUCUGAUUUGGCAGAUAAUUAUGUAGAAAUAGAAAAAAUAUACAAUUUUUGAAAGUAUAAAAUUAUAGGCACUUGAUCAAUUAUAUACUUGAUAUGUUUUAGAGAUUUCAGCUACUAAUGCUAGUAAUUCCUAUCAAUUUAGCAAAGUUCUGAUCAGCAAUUGUUUAAAUAAAAAAAAUGAAGAAAAAAAUAAUUUAGACUUCCUGCCCUACCCUAAACUGUCAGUCAAUGU